ensembl:snoRNA
UGGGAUGAUGAUUUCAUAGACUAGAGUCUCUGACAAAAGCAUGAAGUUAUUUCACAGUGCACUGACCA